AGGCGGAGUGAGCGGCAUUGACACGCUGCGCAAAGUAGAAAUCGCCUCUGAAGAAGAUCCCGUCAAGAUGGAACGGGGAUUCAUUGCUUAUGACGAAUGCAGCGGAAAAAAAUCUGCCGACGAGUGCGUGACUGCCUACGACACAUACAAAUGCGGUUUGGAAAAGGAGCCGGACUUGGUCGUGAAAAUGGUCAAAGUUGACAGCGCAGUGCCAGUGACGCCUCAACCCAUUGCCUGUGCUCCAAAGCGGCGAGGUUGCUGGUUGUCUGAGCGCUUUCCGUGCACUCCGAAUGCCACGGCCAUCAAUAUCCUCGACAGCCAGAAUGGAACAG